CUUCACUUCCGAUCCGCGCAGAUUCACACACCGAACGCGUUCGAGCCGUCCGCGUUGAGUCCCGGGGUCCGGGCAGCGCCCAGCGCGCAGGUUGUUUAUGUGUAGUAAGGGGAACUUGAAACCGGCCGCCUUGCCCCAUGUCCUCGCUUGUUUUCCUUCUCUCGCUCGGAUUCUCCAUGUUGUCGGAGCGGACUCGACUCUGGCGCAGAAAUAAAUACACCCCGCGCUAACACGCACAACCGGGACGCGCAGCCAAGAGAGUGCUUCGCUGAUAAGAGACCGUGUUGGGCCCCUCCCGUAAGGACCAGAAGACAAGGCGGGAAAGCGUAAAUACGUCGUUAUAAAUAAAUAAAUAUCUCCAUGUCUGUAUUUUUUCAUGAUCAUUUAUUGCUUGUGUCAUGUUUACGGUCCGGAGAUUAGUUUAGGUUUUUUCUUUCUUUCUCCCCCCCCUCCUGUAUAAUGUUGAUGAAUUGCUGUAGUUGAAUAUGCUGACCUGCUGAGUUUUGCACGGAGGAGGAUCGGAGGAUUGGAAAGUUCAGUCAUGGUAAAAGUGCAGAGGCGCGAGGGACGUGGAGCAGCCGUCGAAAACAGGUGAACAGUUUCUUGAAUUCAAAUUCCUGAAGACAAAACAUCUUUUACUGGAGCCUUCAAGCUCAGGAUGCCCAGCGGUAGAUGCCACCUACCCAUGAUGCCCCUGUUAAGGAUCGCGAUACUGCUGGCAAGAUAUCUGGUGGGAAGCAUCCUCAUAUAUUCGGGCUUGGAUUUCAUCAUAAGCAGAAAAGCAAAUUUGUACCUUGAUCGUAAAUACUCGCACGUUGUGUAAUUAAGAACAACAGGCUUUUUGUGACCGCAAGAACUGGCUCAUGUCUGUACUGAGUGGCCUGCUGAAUUUGUAAAUAAAGGCGAACACAGAAAAUAAGCGCUUCUUCUGGUUACUAAUUUGCAUGAUGAGAUCUUAUGACUCCUUUUUUUUUUUUAACUGAUGAGCAGAGCCUUUGUAAUCUGCAACAUUCCCUUUGCUUACUGAAAUGAAUCCAGCAGAUUAACUGUAUAGAGAAUACAUAAGCACACUAAGCAGAGCGGCCCUCCCUUAUGCAUGUGAAUCAUUUUACACCAUCAUAGCUAUGUCCACCAUGCUGCAAGUAAGUUCUACGAAACUAGAACAAACUAAUGAGUUGUAUAACAAACUGGUCUAUUUAUAGUGCUGUUUACAUAGACUCCAGUGUAGUCGGACUCUACUGCGAUGUCAGAUGCCCCCUAUAUGUUUAUCCACGUGUGCGCUUUUAUCAGUAGUUAUCAGAUUGGUCAAAAACAGCAUGUUUAUGGUGUAAAAGAGUUAACAACAAAUUCCCAAGCAUUCAUCAUAUUAUAUAUAGAGCAGUGAUAUUAGAAAUGUUUGAUGAGUUCCUGAUACUGACCUCUGAUGCGUUCAUCUUGCUUGCAGAUCCCAGAUAAAUGAGUCCGGUCAUGAACCUGGAUGAGACGCUAGUGUGGAGUUUGCUUCAGAAGGGCUGAGAUGUCCUCAAGACCCUCGCCCUGGAUCCUGAUCUUUCCAGAAAGUGAAUUCCAUGAUGAACCUUCAUCAUCAUCAUCAUACCAGCUGCCCUUGUCUCGGUGGGUGAGGUCCAGUGCUGUAUUGAUGGGAGCGCCUGGACGAUGAUGAGAUGCUUCACCUCAUCGCCUUUGGCUGAGGAGCUGAGUUUGCCUGAUGAUGCCCACAGCCAAGAUCGGCUUUUAUUUCUUAAAUAAAUAAAUAAAUACUACACCACAGUUGAUAUUUUUACUUUAAGAGUAUAUUAUUGUGUAAUUUUUUGUAACGGAAAAUGGAGACAAUUUACAAAUAUACUAGACUGUGACUGCGGGUUGGACUUCACCACACUGUACAAUUAAAUUCAUCUUUAUUAGCGGCAUCGUUUUUCUGUUUUCAUCUGCUCUACUGCACAUCUACGAAGAGCCACACAUCUGGACCCGAGUAUACUGUGGCUAACGGAGUAAAACUCUUAAAUCUGUCUCACGUCAGAAUUUUUUUCUUAAAACAUUGAUAUUAAUUCAUUAACAGUAAUUUACAUUUACGGGCUUAGAGGUUGGCAUGUUCGCUUCACACCUCCAGGGUCGGGGGUUCGAUUCCCACCGUGGUCCUGUGUGUGCGGAGUUUGCAUGUACUCGCCCUGUUGUGGUGAUUUCCUCCGGGUACUCCGGUUUCCUCCCCCAGUCCAAAGACAUGCACGGUAGGCUGAUUAGCAUGUCCAAAGUGUCCGUGGUAUAUGAAUGGGUGUGUGAGUGUUCCAGGGUGUACCCUGCCUUGAGCCCCAUGCUCCCUGGGAUAGUCUCCAGGUUCCCCGUGACCCUGUAGGAUAAGCGGUAUAGCAAAUGGAUGGAUUUACAUUUACAUUCAUUUAGCUUUUAUCCAUAGCAACUUACACAUGAGGAAAUACAAGCAAAGUGAUAUAUCAAGCAGAGAACAAUAAAAGUAGUGCAACCAUGCAAUAUUUUAAAUUGAGGUCUAGGGGAAUGCGUAGAGUAGAGGUGUAAGAGCCAGUGUAAGUGACAUGUUAGGGGUUAGGCGAGUGUUCACGGAAGAGGUGGGUCUUUAGGUGUCUUUUAACAUUUUUUUAUGAAGAUAGUGAUUGAUUCCGUGGUCCGGAUUGAGGUCGGAAGUUCUCUAAAGGGACCUUGUGCCUCGCUGAGUAGGCAGGGAUCACAGGUUGUGUGAAAGAACAUAAACCUCAAGGAGAGUGUUGAGGUAGGAGGGUGCUGUUCCAGACAAGGUCUUGUACAAGGCCUGGAAUUUGAUGAGAGCAGCUACAGGAAUCCAGUGAAGGGAGAUGAAGAGGGGUGGGACGUGUGGUUUUGGGCAGGUCGAAAACAAGGCAUGCUGCUGAAUCAAUUCUGAAUCAUCUGAAAGGGUUUGAUGGAGCUUGCUGGGUGGCCCGAGAGUAGUGCGCUGCAGUCCCGUUUUGAUAUAACGAGCCUGGACUAGAACCUGUGUGGCCUUAUCAGUGAGAUAGUGUCUGAUUUUCUUGAUGUUAUACAGAAUGACCCUACAGGACCAUGCAGUUGUUGAAGUGUGGUCUGUAAAGUUCGAGUGAUCAUCGAAAGUUACCCCAAUGUUUCUGGCUGUACUCGUUGGUAUUAAUUAAUGAACUAUUAAAGUCCUCAGGCAUGUAAAAUGCUGUAAAUAAAGCAGCUUUUUAAAAAGGCA